UACAGAGGGUGCUAGCGUUGUUCGGAAUCAUUGGGCGUAAAGGGCGUGUAGGCGGUUUGUUAAGUCAUGUGUGAAAUCCCUCGGCUCAACCGGGGAAGGACGCAUGAAACUGGCAAGCUAGAGUACCAAAGAGGGGGGUGGAAUUCCCGGUGUAGCGGUGAAAUGCGUAGAUAUCGGGAAGAACAUCGGUGGCGAAAGCGCUCUACUGGACCGCAACUGACACUCAGGGACGAAAGCUAGGGGAGCGAAUGGG
rnacentral:rRNA from 1 species